rnacentral:rRNA from 1 species
CCUACGGGGUGCAGCAGUGGGGAAUAUUGCACAAUGGAGGAAACUCUGAUGCAGCGACGCAGCGUGAGUGAAGAAGUAUUUCUGUAUGUAAAGCUCUAUCAGCAGGGAAGAAAAUGACGGUACCUGAUUAUGAAGCCCCGUCGAACUACGUGCCAGCAGCCGCGGUAAUACGUAGGGGGCAAGCGUUAUCCGGAUUUACUGGGUGUAAAGGGAGCGUAGACGGGAGCACAAGUCUGGAGUGAAAUGGCGGGGCUUAACCCCGGAACUGCUUUUGAAACUGGGCAGCUAGAGUGCAGGUGAGGUAAGUGGAAUUCCUAGUGUAGCGGUGAAAUGCGUAGAUAUUAGGAGGAACACCAGUGGCGAAGGCGGCUUACUGAACUGUAACUGACGUUGAGGCUCGAAAGCGUGGGGAGCAAACAGGAUUAGAUACCCCUGUAGUC